rnacentral:rRNA from 1 species
GUAGGUGGCAAGCGUUGUCCGGAAUUAUUGGGCGUAAAGACGCGCGCAGGCGGUUCGUUUAAGUCUGAUGUGAAAGACCCACGGGCUCAACCGUGGAGGGUCAUUGGAAACUGGAGAACUUGAGUACAGAAGAGGAAAGCGGAAUUCCACGUGUAGCGGUGAAAUGCGUAGAGAUGUGGAGGAACACCAGUGGCGAAGGCGGCUUUCUGGUCUGUAACUGACGCUGAGGCGCGAAAGCGUGGGGAGCAAACAGGAUUAGAUACCCUGGUAGUCCACGCCGUAAACGAUGAGUGCUAAGUGUUAGGGGGUUUCCGCCCCUUAGUGCUGCAGCUAACGCAUUAAGCACUCCGCCUGGGGAGUACGGCCGCAAGGCUG